AACUUUAUGUCAUGUCAGAUUAUUGUUUCUGAAUUCAAUUAGACAGCCUUGUGAUUAUCCCAUAAGAACGGAGAUUUGAAUGAUGCUAUUGUAGUAGCCUAAUUAUCAUUGGGCUCCAAAAGCAUCUUGUGUAAUAAUGUCUCAGGUUGAAUAUGAAGGCUUGCAUUCUGGACUAGUGUUUUUGUAUUGUUGUCCAGGUUUUUUCCUGGGAUAUAUAGGAUCAUUGUUUCAACUUUCAUGUGGGUUCUGAUUAUUACAGAGUAAUUGAACUUCCAUUAUUUUGGGGUUGGAUGUCGUAGGUGUGUCUGUGCGCCAUUGACGUUUUAUAAACUUAAUCUUUAACUUCUCUGUUUCUAUAUUACCCAUUUUUAGCGACAGCAGUUGAGGUGGUUCAAUGGGACUAGCGUAUUCUUGUAAUAAGUGGAGUGAUGUAUUUGGUUUAAAUAAAUUUUAAGCUUCAAAGUUUUGGCGUUGCUUUGUUAGCGUUUUUUCUCUUUUAAGGUAUGAUCAAUUUAAGUGAAUGCAAGACCUUCGGGGAAGGUAAGAAUACAGAGCAAUGGGAGUCUGCUAUGGUUUCUAUGCCAUCAAGAAGGAUAAGGGAAAUGUUGUUAAUGGUCGGUAACCUAUAUGUCUCAUGCUUGCAUCGUUUGAUUAGGCAUUUCAUGGCCUUUUUUCUGUCUUGUGGUUGUAUUGAGAGGGAGGGGUGGAGAGUAAUUGUCAGAGUUUAGUGACGACGGACAGAUGGUCAUGGAGUUGGCGGCGGCAAUUUGCGAUGGUGCUGCUGGUGCCGGCAGAGGCAGUGGUAAGGGGACUUGGCCAAAUGGUGGUUGCACGAUGAGCAAAUUGUGCUGCUGAUCUGGGAACCGGAGAGAGCAUUCUCAUGAAGAAAUAAGUCAACAAGCUCCGAACAAUUUCCUAUGUUUGGCGAAAUCUCCCCCGAAAGCAUGGUGGUAUGUACUGCUAGGGUCUGAAGCUUGCUUAGUUUACCAAGUGAAGCAAGUAUUGAGCCAGCUUUCCAAGCUCAACUGGAGGAUUCCAACUUAAAUUGUUGUAGAAUAGGAGCAAAUUCAGAAGGUUUGUGCAAUUACCAGUUCUGAUAGGAUCUCCCCGAUUAAAUUCAGAAAGGUUGUGGGUUUUGUUUAUUAGUGGUGUGAACUUAACAACUUACAAUUUCGUAUUUUACAAGUAAAAGGCAUUUUGGUCAAUUCAUUAUUUUUUGGGUGUAAAUUUAUAAAAUAUGAUGUGCAAAUAAAAUCUCGUUGUUUUUUUGGUAUCAUGCUA